rnacentral:rRNA from 1 species
UGGGGUGACUGCGUACCUUUUGUAUAAUGGGUCAGCGACUUAUAUUCUGUAGCAAGGUUAACCGAAUAGGGGAGCCGAAGGGAAACCGAGUCUUAACUGGGCGUUAAGUUGCAGGGUAUAGACCCGAAACCCGGUGAUCUAGCCAUGGGCAGGUUGAAGGUUGGGUAACACUAACUGGAGGACCGAACCGACUAAUGUUGAAAAAUUAGCGGAUGACUUGUGGCUGGGGGUGAAAGGCCAAUCAAACCGGGAGAUAGCUGGUUCUCCCCGAAAGCUAUUUAGGUAGCGCCUCGUGAAUUCAUCUCCGGGGGUAGAGCACUGUUUCGGCAAGGGGGUCAUCCCGACUUACCAACCCGAUGCAAACUGCGAAUACCGGAGAAUGUUAUCACGGGAGACACACGGCGGGUGCUAACGUCCGUCGUGAAGAGGGAAACAACCCAGACCGCCAGCUAAGGUCCCAAAGUCAUGGUUAAGUGGGAAACGAUGUGGGAAGGCCCAGACAGCCAGGAUGUUGGCUUAGAAGCAGCCAUCAUUUAAAGAAAGCGUAAUAGCUCACUGGUCGAGUCGGCCUGCGCGGAAGAUGUAACGGGGCUAAACCAUGCACCGAAGCUGCGGCAGCGACACUAUGUGUUGUUGGGUAGGGGAGCGUUCUGUAAGCCGUUGAAGGUGUGCUGUGAGGCAUGCUGGAGGUAUCAGAAGUGCGAAUGCUGACAUAAGUAACGAUAAAGCGGGUGAAAAGCCCGCUCGCCGGAAGACCAAGGGUUCCUGUCCAACGUUAAUCGGGGCAGGGUGAGUCGACCCCUAAGGCGAGGCCGAAAGGCGUAGUCGAUGGGAAACAGGUUAAUAUUCCUGUACUUGGUGUUACUGCGAAGGGGGGACGGAGAAGGCUAUGUUGGCCGGGCGACGGUUGUCCCGGUUUAAGCGUGUAGGCUGAUUUUCCAGGCAAAUCCGGAGAAUCAAGGCUGAGGCGUGAUGACGAGGCACUACGGUGCUGAAGCAACAAAUGCCCUGCUUCCAGGAAAAGCCUCUAAGCAUCAGGUAACAUCAAAUCGUACCCCAAACCGACACAGGUGGUCAGGUAGAGAAUACCAAGGCGCUUGAGAGAACUCGGGUGAAGGAACUAGGCAAAAUGGUGCCGUAACUUCGGGAGAAGGCACGCUGAUAUGUAGGUGAAGCGACUUGCUCGUGGAGCUGAAAUCAGUCGAAGAUACCAGCUGGCUGCAACUGUUUAUUAAAAACACAGCACUGUGCAAACACGAAAGUGGACGUAUACGGUGUGACGCCUGCCCGGUGCCGGAAGGUUAAUUGAUGGGGUCAGCCGCAAGGCGAAGCUCUUGAUCGAAGCCCCGGUAAACGGCGGCCGUAACUAUAACGGUCCUAAGGUAGCGAAAUUCCUUGUCGGGUAAGUUCCGACCUGCACGAAUGGCGUAAUGAUGGCCAGGCUGUCUCCACCCGAGACUCAGUGAAAUUGAACUCGCUGUGAAGAUGCAGUGUACCCGCGGCAAGACGGAAAGACCCCGUGAACCUUUACUAUAGCUUGACACUGAACAUUGAGCCUUGAUGUGUAGGAUAGGUGGGAGGCUUUGAAGUGUGGACGCCAGUCUGCAUGGAGCCGACCUUGAAAUACCACCCUUUAAUGUUUGAUGUUCUAACGUGGACCCGUGAUCCGGGUUGCGGACAGUGUCUGGUGGGUAGUUUGACUGGGGCGGUCUCCUCCUAAAGAGUAACGGAGGAGCACGAAGGUUGGCUAAUCCUGGUCGGACAUCAGGAGGUUAGUGCAAUGGCAUAAGCCAGCUUGACUGCGAGCGUGACGGCGCGAGCAGGUGCGAAAGCAGGUCAUAGUGAUCCGGUGGUUCUGAAUGGAAGGGCCAUCGCUCAACGGAUAAAAGGUACUCCGGGGAUAACAGGCUGAUACCGCCCAAGAGUUCAUAUCGACGGCGGUGUUUGGCACCUCGAUGUCGGCUCAUCACAUCCUGGGGCUGAAGUAGGUCCCAAGGGUAUGGCUGUUCGCCAUUUAAAGUGGUACGCGAGCUGGGUUUAGAACGUCGUGAGACAGUUCGGUCCCUAUCUGCCGUGGGCGCUGGAGAACUGAGGGGGGCUGCUCCUAGUACGAGAGGACCGGAGUGGACGCAUCACUGGUGUUCGGGUUGUCAUGCCAAUGGCACUGCCCGGUAGCUAAAUGCGGAAGAGAUAAGUGCUGAAAGCAUCUAAGCACGAAACUUGCCCCGAGAUGAGUUCUCCCUGAGACUUUAAGUCUCCUGAAGGAACGUUGAAGACGACGACGUUGAUAGGCCGGGUGUGUAAGCGCAGCGAUGCGUUGAGCUAACCGGUACUAAUGAACCGUGAGGCUUAACCUUACAACGCCGAAG